CCGUUCGUCCACUAGGGGGAGACUUGCCCACAUUUAUAACCUCCACUCCUUGGGGCGGCCUGCUCCUGGCUUUAGAUAAGAAUUGGAACUUGAUUACCGCAGCAGCUUAUUUACUCCGUUUCCUUGGCUGAGCGAGGCAUUUGAGUUUGAUUAACAAGAUUUUCUACUUGACGUUCAACUCUCAUUUUCCGAAGCGCUGAGGACGGGACUUCCGUCCCCCUCCAUCACCUCUGCCAACUUACGCCUCCGCCUCCGGGCCUCGGAGCCGCCUUGGCAAUGGCCAGUCCUGCGAUUGGUUCCCAGCGGUGAAGGAGCUACUGACUCCGACCUUGUCUGAAGGUUACUUCUCAAGUUCGUGCAUUUUCUCAGCGAUGUGCAUUCAAAUUAGGUGCUGGUGAUACAAGGGUGAGGCUGGCAGUAGAAGAAUCCUCCCGUCUCAGUCCUCGCCUUCAGAGGGAGGAAGAGAGACAACAAACAAGUGAACAAAAUAGGUAGCACCGGUGGUGCAGGAGAGUGAAAAGACGAUGCCCAAAGGAGGCAGAGGGCAUGAACUUGGGGAAUGCACCUGCGGCAGGAAGGGAAACAUUUCCUCCACUGGGGCCGAAGGAAAGGAGAAGAUGGAUGCCCGUGCUUCUGAUGUGGCACCUGGUAGGAUGAAUUAAGGACCAUGGCCAGCACCUGGUAGGAUGAAUAAGGACCAUGGCUGUUAUCUGAGAGAGGAGGGGAGAAGGGAGCCUGGAACACCUCAGCAAAGAGGACAAGGGAUCUAGCAUUUUGAAGACACACAAUUUAGCAGACAUUCAAAUUCGCUGAACAGAUGAAUUCAGAGGGGAGGUGGAGAUCUCAGAUGGAAGAGAUGUUCGAGGAAGAAACUGCAUGGAGGCCUGAAACGCAUGGUCCCCUCUACACACCUGAAGAGGAAGCCGUACAAGAGAUCCAAGAGUCAUGCUGGGACUGUGUAGUUCAUACUCCUAAAGGAGAUAACCCGAUUGGCCCAGCUCCUGCCUCCUCAAUAUGCUGACCACCCAAUGAGUUCACUGCUCUUGGUCAUAUGCACCACUUUUAGUCUGCUCAGCAAUGUAAGAUGUGGAGAAGAUCUCAUGUUCAGAACGGACUGUGCAUUCAGCAGGAUGGUACAGAGAUUUUGGUAUUUCAGAAUUGCGGAUAAUGGAAUGCGGAUGUGAAUAUCUCUAAAGAAAGAAAGACUCAAUCAUAGAGGGGAGAAGUGAGCCAUGGAAGUGUAGAAAAGGGAGAAGCGUGGAGAACAUGUGAGCAGUGACCAGUCCAGCACUACCCAGCAAGAGGCAGGAUUUAUUAUAUUCUGAUUCCAUUGUCAAGGCCAGCAUUGUAAAAAGAAAGAAAGAAGUGCUGAGCUCUCUCAACUGAGAUCACUAAACAGUUGGCUCAUUUGAACAGUAUUUUUCUACUCUUGUACUCCCCAAGCCACUGGACAAUUAUCAAUCUUGGCAUAUAUAAAAUAUCUGCAGAAGAGAAUAAUCUUUUCACAACUUUGGGUUCCUACUUCUGUAAUAUGAAAAAAUAAAGGGAAGAGGAUAAGUUCCUCAGACAUCUAAUCCACAGGCUUCAUCUUAGAUCUCAUUGGCCAGACAUGGAGCAUUCAUCACCAUAAGCCCCUGGCAGGUUGGGGAUGUGAGUAUUUUCAUUUUCACUUUGAUUGUAGAGGAAAGCAAGGAAUAUUGGAAUGGCUUUUGGAUGGUCAAUCUACAGUAACUGUCCUUCCUUUGUUUGGGUCUGAUGACAUAUUUUGCUAAGAUUAAAAAAAAAAAAAAGGAUAAAGCUAGAAAAGUAAAGAGUAUAUGUUUCUUCCCAUCUAGUAUAUAAAAACUAAGAAGUUUAGAAUAACCAAUGCGUAUGAAGACACCAGACAGACUUAUCAUGGGCCAUAUGAUAUGUCAAAAUGUAAGACUGCUAAGAGAGAUAAGCUCAGAAAACUCACAGGACAAACAGCAAACCAGUAAAAGUCCUUUCAUUGAACCCCUUGAGCACGUAGUAGUUGUGGAACAGUGUUGGGCAGGAGGCAGAACUAAUGGAAGGGGACAAAUGAAAUUCAGCUUGUAAAGUCAUUGUAAAAGUCUCUUUCUCUCUUCAAAAUUGGCUUCAUUGAAGACCUCACCCAAGAAGAAAGGAGGGGAAGAGAAUGAGCUCAGCCUGGCGUAAGCCAUUCGCCCUAUGAGUCGAGUGCUCUUGUAAAGGCCUCGUGUUUAUGAACUCACAUAAUUCUCAGGACAACUCUUAGGAGACAGACACUAUUUUUAUCCUCAUUUUGCAGACAAGGGACAGGUUUCCACAAGGAAAUUAAGCAGCUUGCUUGUGGCCUCACAAAUGGCAAGAGCUGGGCCUUGCCGGCAGGUGUCCUGGCUCCAGAACCUGUGCUGACAACCACUUACCCUCUACUCCACUGAAUCUCCCACUAUUCUGUUCGGCAAACAAGAAAGUCCUACUUCACUUUACUCCGUGUCAAGAGGACCCUUCACGACUACAGAAUAAAACCUGGUAUCUAUGACACCUUGAAGGCUAGUAAAAUAGCAAAAACAACACUUCUUUCUGUGGUGGCAGGAAGAGGAUGCCCAGCCCUUUAAUGACAUGAGCUGGCGGGCUCUUGGCUGGACAUCAAGGAAGUAGACGUCUGUUCACUCCAGCAGUCACCGUGAACAUUUCCAUUUUUGGAAUCCCCCUUUUCUCCUUUAUAGAACACAAUGAUAGGACGCGAGGAUAUCUCAGGGUUUUGGGGUUUUAAAAGUUGUGGGAUUUUGUUAUUUGAUACCUUCCUGGAGACACGGGGUGGGGCCACACUUCAGUUAUUGCAGACAGAUACGGAAUUUAUCCUGUAAACACACGGACGCAACACGUACUCCACAUCUCUGACACCACAGCACAUCUCUAUCCAAAUCCAUAGACGGGAUAUUUAACAAAUGCUCGUGCACCAUGGAAUUUGGUGAGUCCCAGAUUUUCCAAUUCUAAGGUGUCACUGA